GAUGAACGCUGGCGGCGUGCCUAAUACAUGCAAGUCGAGCGAACAGACGAGGAGCUUGCUCCUCUGACGUUAGCGGCGGACGGGUGAGUAACACGUGGAUAACCUACCUAUAAGACUGGGAUAACUUCGGGAAACCGGAGCUAAUACCGGAUAAUAUAUUGAACCGCAUGGUUCAAUAGUGAAAGACGGUUUUGCUGUCACUUAUAGAUGGAUCCGCGCCGCAUUAGCUAGUUGGUAAGGUAACGGCUUACCAAGGCAACGAUGCGUAGCCGACCUGAGAGGGUGAUCGGCCACACUGGAACUGAGACACGGUCCAGACUCCUACGGGAGGCAGCAGUAGGGAAUCUUCCGCAAAGGGCGAAAGCCUGACGGAGCAACGCCGCGUGAGUGAUGAAGGUCUUCGGAUCGUAAAACUCUGUUAUUAGGGAAGAACAAAUGUGUAAGUAACUAUGCACGUCUUGACGGUACCUAAUCAGAAAGCCACGGGUAACUACGUG
rnacentral:rRNA from 1 species